CCUUGGCUACAGUGAAUACAUAAGUGUCUUAUAAGAUAAUAAGCAAAAAAUACAGUAAUUUUAAAAUAAUUCUAACAGCUGCAGCUCAUGGAAGAUUGCCAAAGCCACAUGAAAACCUCAUAUCUUAUUGAAAGUGAAAGACAUGGAAAGAUUUGACCAGAGUUCUUUGGCAUACAAUAAUUGCAACCUAUAGAUAUAAGAAGAUGUGGUACUUGUACCAAUGUAAUGAGACAACUCUCCAUCCAAGUCACAAUUUGUAAAAAGUAAACCAUUAUAGGUCAAAGUAAGGCCUUCAACAUGGAGUUUUGGCUCACAGCGAAGACAAGCUAUAAAGGGCCCCAAAAUAACUAGUGUAAAACAAUUCAAACAGGAAAAUCAACAGUCUAAUCUAUAUAAAAAACAAGUAAACGAGAAACACUUAUGAACCAUAUCAACAAAUGACAACCACUGAACAGCAAGUUACCGACUUACGACAGGUGCAAACAAAUGCAGCUGGUUUAUACGUUUUAACCAGCUGCAACCUUCACUCUAACCUGAAACAGUAGUAUAACAUUACAACAUAGAAAAAAACAAAAUAUCAAUUGAAA
rnacentral:lncRNA from 1 species